GCCCUCCUGUAGCACAGUGGGUCAGUAGGUCUGGCUGUUGACUGGAAGGUUGGUGGUUCAAGCCCGCCCAGGGACG